ensembl:lncRNA FBXO38-DT FBXO38 divergent transcript
UAAAGAUGUUAAUGUUAAGUCAUCCCUUCUGUGAUUUCGGGACAUUAUCUUUGCACGCCAUGUGAAGAUGUGCUUGCUUCCUUGUCACCUUCCGCCAUGAUUGUAAGUUUCCUGAGGCCUCCCAGGAAGCAGAAGCCUGUACAGCCCACAGAACCAUGACCUGAUGAAAUCUCUUUUCUUUAUAAAUUACCCAGUCUCAGGUCUACACAAACUCCAGCUGUAUACAAAAGACUGCAUCUCCAGCUUGUUUUGUCUGAGAGGUCUAGGCAUGAUAUUUUAUUAAUUGUGGACUAUCUCUACUUGAAUAGCUUGGAAUAUACUCAAACUUAAAGUUGAAUUCUUCCUUCCCUCCAGAUGUGCUUCAUUAAUUAAUUCAUUCAUUCAUUCAUCAGCUUCCAUACACCUCCUGUUAUCGGGCUAAGGUUAGUGGAGCUGAUGCAAAGAUAGGUAUGCAUGGCAUAAUGGCAGGAGGACCUUAGAGGCUAGUGCAGCAGAAUAGAAACAGCAGUGCCUGAUGAUAAGUAUAUGCCAGCGUGAUUUCACUUCCUCUUCUUGCCUGCUCAAAUCCCAGGGAGACAGAGUUUAUGUGAUACUCAACAAUGUGAUGGGAAACUACCAAGCUCGUAACUUUCAGUAAUCCUUUACAUCCUCUCACAGCUACUAAAUCAUGAAGGAUGGCUUGAACUCAGGCCCAUCUGACUCCAAAAUUUAUAUCCUUAACCCUAUUAUUUUCUUUAAUAGGUAAAACAGAAGCCUCAAAGACAUAAAAUAAAUUUCCCAGGCCCCAGUGUCACACAGUUAAUAAGCAACAGAGUUUAGAGUGGAACUCAAAUUGAGUACCAAAUAAGAUUUUUGCUACCACACCUAGAUUUUUUCAACAAUACUCAUUACUGUAACCUGAGUCAUGAAUGGAAGGCUAAAUUAAAGUCCUUAUUUUCUAAGACAGAGAACAAAGAUAUGUGUGACCCAUUUAAAAAUUAUAAGAAUCAUGACUUGCCCUUAUUGAGUUUCACUCUAUGCCAGGCACUGUGCUAAGCUCUUUUCAAAUACUAUGGCUUCAAGUCUUGGAAUAAUGUUAUAAGUAUGUUGCCCAUGGCCACGUGAUCAAAAACGUGGAAUUAAAGACCAGGCCUUUCUAAAUUUGUUGCUAGUGUCUCACCACCUUGUUCUACUCUCUCCAUUUUAGAAAGAUCUGCCUACAAUUUUUGAAAUAAAACCAGUUUUCAUACACAUAAAGUAAAUAUUCAAACAUAUAGAAAUUUAAUUACUGUGUAGUAUCAAAUAUUUCCUUACUGAUAUUGACUUUAAAAUUACAUAAAAGUAGGAUGGGUGUACUGACCAUCUGUUUCGUCUGUUUGGCACAUUCUAUACCUGGAAGAAAAACAAAGACAAGGCAAUAUUAAACUCUGGAAGAACCUAAUCUUACUAGAAAAAGAAUCUUUGAUUUAUGCUUUAGCUUUCAGCCUGUCAUAAAAAUGUAAGUCUCUCUUCACAACUGUGUAUCAGCAUUGUAUCAAAGGUUGAAGCUCUUCACACGUAUCUUUAAAUUUUUUUUCUUUUUUGGAGUGGGAGUGGAAUCUAGUCAAAGAAAUGGAAAAGAUGCCACGAUGAAUGAGAAUUUUGUCUUAAUCUUUUUUACUUCAUAACCAGAGCUCAGUAGAGACAGAAGAAAUAAGUGAGUCAUAUUUAGGGAGAUGUGCUAUUGUGGACAGGUGUAGAUGACAGAUGUUGGAACAGUGGUUGAAAAUUCUAGGGAGGCCAAUUUUAACUCAAUA